UUAACAAGUCAACCAUGGGCUUGCUCUCUAUGAAAGCAUAUUUCAGAGAGUCAAGAAAUUUGCCUAAUAAUCGUGAGGCCAAUGCGAUGAUAAAUCUCAACCUUUUUGUUCUGCUUCCGCCAUCGUUUUGCGAAUGGCUCGACAUCAUCAGGUACAUAAUUGUGUUGAUUGUUAUGGUCAUUUUACUCAUUUGUUAUCGGAAGAAGAAGAGAAAAGACGCACAAAUUUAAAUGUUUUUAUAAGCUUUUUAGAGAUUCCAGAAAAAGAGAAAUAGAGAAAGAAAAUGACUAGAGCAGAAGAGAUGCCAACAAAAGUAGCAAGAGGAUUAAGGUUGUGUUUGGAUCGCAGGAAAAUAAGGAAGAAAAGAAAAUUUGAAAAAGAAAAUAAUAAUAUUUUUAAUUCAUUUGUGUUUAAUUAGAGAAGAAAAUAAAGAGGUAGUUAAAUUUUAUUUUCAUUUUCUCUCUAAAUUGAAGUGAAAGUAGG
rnacentral:misc_RNA from 1 species